rfam:Schistosoma mansoni, Puerto Rico, WGS project CABG01000000 data, contig: 0108
AGCUUUCUGAAUCCGUGCACAGAUUUCUUCAGACACCAACUCAUUGGGACUGGUCAGACUUCCAAGAUAAGUGAAGUU